UCGGGGCCGACGGUCUCGGUGAGCAUCAGGUUCUCGCCGGUCUCGCCCUCCAGCUUGGCGAUGGCGGCGUCGAUCUCCUGGAGGGCGCCGUACUUGAGGUCGGCGACGCGUGCCAGGUCCAUGCGCCGCUCCGCCUCCUGCAGCGUGAACUGCAGCUCCUCGCGCCGCUGCUUCAGCUUCCGGAUCUCGUCGAUCCGCUCCUUCUCCUUGCGGUACUUCAUGGUCAGCGGCUGCAGCUUGUCCCUCAGGUCGUCCAGCUCCUUCCUCACCUCCACCAGCCGGGCCUUGCUGGCCUUGUCCUUCUCCUUCUCCAGCGCGUGGAGCUCCACCUCCAGCUGAAUCCGCUUCCUCUCCAGGUUGUCGAUCUCCUCCGGCUGGCUGUCCAGCUGCACCCUCACGUUCGCGCACGCCUCGUCCACCAGGUCGAUGGCCUUGUCCGGCAGGUGCCGGCCCAUGAUGUACCUCGCCGAGAGCUGCGCCGCGACGACGAUGGCGCGGUCCUGGAUGCGCACGCCGUGGUGCCCCUCGUACUUCUCCUUGAGCCCUCGCAGGAUGCUGAUGGUGUCGGCGACGCUCGGCUCGGCCACGUACACCUGCUGGAACCGCCGCUCGAACGCGGCGUCCUUCUCGACGUACUUGCGGUACUCCUCCAGCGUGGUGGCGCCGAUGCACCGGAGCUGGCCACGCGCGAGCAUCGGCUUGAACAGGUUGGCCGCGUCCAUGGACCCCUCCGUCCUGCCGGCACCGAGGACGAGGUGUAUCUCGUCGAUGAAGAGGAUGACCUUGCCGUCGGCCUCCUCCACCUCCUUGAGCACGGCCUUGAGCCGCUCCUCGAACUCGCCGCGGUACUUGGCGCCGGCGACGAGGGCGCCCAUGUCGAGCGCGACGAG
rnacentral:lncRNA from 1 species